GGCAGAGCUAAAGGUGAGCGUAUACCUUUCAUUCUACGUUGAACAGGAUGUGGAGCACGAUUUAAUAACAAUACCAUAAGGAACGUUGGCUAUUUAUUAUUACAGGAGUUUGCCAGUACAUCCGAUUAUAUUAUAUACAUUUAUUGGUGGUUUGAAAGCUCUCAACAGUCAUGGAGGAAGAGAAAGCAAGAUGGCUCCAGUACACGCUGAUUUUGGCAGCUCUUUUUCCCACCUGCUACGCUAACACACACGCGCAAGAUGAUGGGUCACAACACUACGCGUUACUGGCAGCUCCAGUUCUUCUCUUCCUCCUUAUCGUUUAUCUGGAGAUGCGGAGACCACGAGCAGAAACACAGGUGGAAAUAGAACCUGUGCUGUGGCAUUAGCAAAUCGUGCGGAGAGAGCUACUUAGAGCGACAGUUUUCUUGUUCAUUUACGCAUUAAUUCGCUGACUACCAGCAAAGUAUUCCGUAUUAAGCCGUAUCAAAUGUUAGAUCUGUCACACAUAAUAUUAAAGGUCUUUACUUUUA